rnacentral:lncRNA from 1 species
AGAAACCAAAAGAAAUAGAGGAGCAAUGGGGAACAAGUGUAAACACAGUNAAAUCACACCCAAAACCUCUAAUUCAAUCCUCUUCUUGACUCCAUUAUUCACACAAAUUUUUUUAACUUUUCUCAUUUUUCUGUAUUUUUUUAUUUAUUUAUUUUUUCUUUUCUCAUCUUGUCUCUUUUCUUUUCUCUCUUAUCAGAACACAACUCCGAGAGACAAGACACACAUAUAUUUACAACACAAAUAAAAAGAGGAGGAACCAACUAGCCAAUUCAUCUGAAUCUCCC